rnacentral:sRNA from 1 species
CUGAACACACUAGAAACUGGAUUCUUCCAUUUAUCUAUAGAAAAGGUAAAAUGUGGGUAACAAUGAAAGCCUCAUCUUGCCAACAUGCCUCAACCCUGAUCUGAGGGGUACCACUCUUUGGGUGAAAGGGAAGUUCAUUACCCAUGCUCAUUCAUUUCUUGGCUUUC